rnacentral:lncRNA from 1 species
GUUCUUAUGUUGUGUUAUUACACCACAGUUUCAGGUUAGGGGGAUUGAGUACGUUCUUAUGUUGUGUUAUUACACCACUGUCUCAGGUUAGGGGGAUUGAGUACUUACAAACAUGUUUAAUCUCAUUUUUUAUGUGUCUGUCCAAAGUGAGGAGCCUGUAGGUCAGGGGUUGUCGUGGGUUGACAUAUGUCAUAUUUGUUUUUCGUAUAUUGUGUUAUAAAUUAGACAGUCAGUUUUCUCAACUGUACUGUUUCACAUUUUUCAUGUCCAAGCCCUUUUUAGCUGACUAUACAGUACAGGCUUUUCUCAGUGUUGGUUUCUGGACAAGUUACUAUAAUUGCUUACAUCCACUUUAUUUGAAAUUUGGUGGAUAGUGGUCUCAUUGGCAUUCAUACCACAUCUC